rnacentral:rRNA from 1 species
GACGAACGCUGGCGGCGUGCUUAACACAUGCAAGUCGAACGCUGAAGCUUGGUGCUUGCACUGGGUGGAUGAGUGGCGAACGGGUGAGUAAUACGUGAGUAACCUGCCCUUGACUCUGGGAUAAGCCUGGGAAACUGGGUCUAAUACUGGAUACGACAUGUCACCGCAUGGUGGUGUGUGGAAAGGGUUUUACUGGUUUUGGAUGGGCUCACGGCCUAUCAGCUUGCUGGUGGGGUAAUGGCUCACCAAGGCGACGACGGGUAGCCGGCCUGAGAGGGUGACCGGCCACACUGGGACUGAGACACGGCCCAGACUCCUACGGGAGGCAGCAGUGGGGAAUAUUGCACAAUGGGCGGAAGCCUGAUGCAGCGACGCCGCGUGAGGGAUGACGGCCUUCGGGUUGUAAACCUCUUUCAGCACGGAAGAAGCGAAAGUGACGGUACGUGCAGAAGAAGCGCCGGCUAACUACGUG